UGCAGACUCCUUGAACCGACAACUUUGGCUUAAAGAUUCACCUUGAACCCCACAAACCUUCUGAGUCCUGAGAUGGUUUGGGAUACUUGCUCCUCUGUCCUUCCUUCUGCUUCUCCGUUCAUGGCAUCUUUAUAGAGGUGUUCUCUUCCACUGUUCUGUGUGCUUUCUCUUUUACAGGCAUGCCUUCCCCACCCCUAAUAGAUAUCUUACCCAUCUGACUCUUUCCUGAGAUGACUAUUUGUUUGUGUUUGUUUUUGUUUUUGUUUUUGUUUUGAAACAGAGUUUCUCUGUGUAAUAGUCCUAGCUGUCCUGGAACUUGCUUUGUAGACCAGGCUGGCCUCCAAAUCACAUAGAUCGACCUGCCUCUGCCUCCCGAGUACUGGGAUUAAAAGCGUGCACAUCAUACCUGGCUCCUGAUGACUGUAUAAGAGUAUCCUAACAGCAACAACAACAAAUUCAAACAAAAGUCGGGGAUUUCAACAUCUUCUGAUCUUCCCCCACAUUUCCAUUAGCACUUCAAAGUAAAAACAGGGCUUCCCAGAAUAAACAUGCUUCGGCACAUAUGGCUCCAUUUGCCUCCACACCUUUCUAUGAAUCGGCAGUGUUACUGUCUGUGUAACAGACAGAGAACUGACAUUGAGAGUGGUAGUGGAUCGUCAGGGUCUCUGAGGGAAGACUGAGACACAAGGAGCCCGUGUUCCUUAGAGAUGGGGUCACAGUUAGAAAUGUGUAGUUCGGUUUGUUUCUGUGCACACUGUGUGGAGUGCACUUACACAAGCCUAAAUGCUACGGGCCGCCUUACACUUCGCUGUAUUACAGUCUUCCAGGACCCCAUCACGCCAGAAAGCCAUCCUUGGCUGGAAUGCUGUGGCGUAGCUCAUCUCUUGUAUUUGAUUCUGACUCCAAAUUCUUUUUGUCACAGUACCCUGCAGCCCUGAAAACUGUAAGCCGAAACCCUCCUUCUUCUCUUAGUAUGCUUCUUUUUCUGGUGGUGGUAGGGUGGUUUGAGAUAGGGUUUGUUUGUGUAGUCUUGGAUGUCCCAGAAUUAGCUCUGUAGACCAGGCUGGCCUCAAACUCACAGAGAUCCACCUGCCCCUACCUCCCAAGUCCUGGGACCGAAUGCGUGCACCACCACUGCUCUGCCCCUUAUUCUGCUUCUUUUCAGGUAUUUGUUUGCAACAAGAGAAAGGGAAUGUGCACCAUUGUUCCUAUGGCGGCAUAGAUGGGUCCUCCACCCUUCAGGACAUGCUCCCUACCUGUGAUGACAAAUCUUAUAUACCACUGUUCACACUCCACAGUUGUAUAGGACUGUCCCUAGCCACACAGCCACUAUCUUCAGGAGUUUGGCUGGGUCUGUGCACAAAAGGUUAUCUAGGUGGUCUUGUUGACUUAGAAGAAAAGGCAAGCAGGGUCAUAGGACUUUCACUGUAGCGAUCAGCCAACCCUUCUAACCAGUUGUGUGCAAUUCUGCAUGUGGCCUCAGUGUAUAGAUAGUAUGGGCUGAGUGUAUAGGUGGGGAAAGACUAGAGCCUUCUACACAGCUGUGGGGGAGUCAUUAUCCACACUGGGUGCAGGCCUUCCAGUGUGGCUGCUUUAAGUCACCACACUCCUGCCUGUCACUCCUCACCCAAUCCUCUGUCAGUAAACCCUAAUAAAAUCACUGCCCCCCCCCAGAGUGAACUUGGGGGAGUCAUACUGCUGUUUCUAUUGGGACCUUAGUAGGAGCAGGUGGAUGAAAGAAUUUUUAGCAGAAUCCCCCAACAGAUCCCUUGUUUUUAGUGGCUGCUUUCUAAUUCUAGAAUAAAAUCUAACCUUGUUGAGGCUCAGAACAUGCUACCCCAGAAUAUGACAUACUGGCAGGUUGAAGCAUUGUGAUGUCAGAUGCAGUGUUCUUAUGGGACAGUGAGUCAGGGUGAUGGUGCAAUGAUCACUGUGAUCUCACAGUGUACCAUGUUGAUGUCACAAAGGAGUGUUGUGAUGUCAAGAUGCAUCACUGUGAUGUCACCAUAAAGCAGUGUGAUGGCACAAUGGGUUAUUGUGAGUUCACAGUGUGCCAUAGUGAUGAAAAAAGGAAGUACUGGGAAAGCACAGUAUAGCAGUGUAAUGUGGCAAUGGACCUCUGUGAUGUCACAGUGCAGAGUUGCGAUGUCACCACUGACCGUUAUGAUUUCACAGUAUAACAUGAUAAUAUCAGAGCAUAUGCAAGACAGGAGAACUGAUUUCACUUAGAAAAUUAUGAUGAGGAUGUAGCAUUUCGAGAGGACAAUGGGAGAUUGUAAUGGCACAAUAGAGCCUUGCAAUGAUAUUAUUCAGCAUUAUGACAUCAUAAUAAAGCAUGGUUGAAGAGUACACAGUUGUGAUUAUGCAGUUCAGCAUUGUGAUGACAUUAUGAAACUUUUUAAAUAUCACAAUGCAGCAUUGUGAUGGAACAAAGGGAACUGUGUGUGUGUGUAUGUGUGUACCUGUGUGUGUUAUCACAGUACAGCAUUGUGAUGGCUCAAGGGGAAUUGUGUUUGUGUCUGUCCAUCAAGGUAAAGUCUAGCUCCAAGGUGAUAUGUACAUCUAAAACACACUGGGGGCUGGAGUUAAGACUGCUUGCUGCUCUUGCAGAGGACAGUUCCCAGCACCCACGUCAGAUGGCUCACAACUGCCUGUAACUUAGCUCCAGGAGAAUCAGACGCCCUCUUUUGACACCUAUGAGCAAUGACACUCACAUGCAUAUACCUCCCCCAGCCCAGACACAAACACAAUUAAAAUAAAACCUUCAAAAGCAAAAAUAAGAUAAACGAAUUCAAUUAAAAUAUAAAAAUCCACGUUCUGAAGUCACAUAAGCUACAGCUCAAACUUUAAGUAGUCCUAUAGUCAGGAAAAAGGUAGAUCAUUAACAUGACAGCCCCUUUAAAGGAUAGCUAUGCUCUCUGGAAGUUCUAAAAAAACCCUCUAUCUAGAUGUGUGAGAAACUUCCUGGAAGAAUAAAUUCUACAGGACAUGGUUCUCCAUCUGAAUAUAUAUCCUGAAACAAUUACUCACGAUGCUCUUUGCUCUGGACUCCCAAGAGGCCAGCUUAGUAAGCUUCACCUACUUUCUCAAGGGCCAAUGUUGCUCUCCGUCCCUCCUUACAGGAGGCUAGUUGUGUUCCUAGGCCUGGGUUAAACCACGAUUUUAUCUCUGAGGUGUUUGAGAUUUCAACAGAGCAGCAUCCAAGAAGAGGAGCCUCUGCCUGUGGGGCCUAGGGCGGCUGCAGUUUCAUACCUAUGGAGCUGGCCUUGCUCUCAGAUAAUCACACCCAAAGGAGAAAUCAAGGCAGCUCUGUAGGGCUUACAAAGGAAUUUACUCACGAACAGCAAUGCCAGAGCCCACAGCUGCACUAGCGCUGGCCAAGCUCAGAUGUUAAUUCAGACAGCCGCUCAGGGAAUGUCCGUGGCUAGAGCAAGCUGUCCAGCCAAAUAGAAGUGGCAGGAAGCAAGGCCCUAGGAUGUAUUGGAAAGCCAACUCCUGGAAGGUCUGAGCGUGCCCAGGCCUCCCAGCUGCAUAUGUUUUCACCCCAGCCAGGGGUGUGCCCAGCUGGGAAGGCUGAGUCGUCACAUCAUUGCAGAAAACUGGAACAGCAUGGCCAGGACCUUCAGCACUGGGAAUAGCAUCAGAUUUCCUCCCUGGACUCUGAGCAUGAGAGACUGUGAGGUCCAGGAGUAUGUGUGUGGGAAGGGUCUAGUCUGCCUCCACCUGGGGGAAGAGGUUUCUAGAAGAGAUCAGAACAUCAGAGCUUCAAAUUAAGUUAUCAGGAUAGAAAAUCUACCUGUCAACCAGCAGGAAACCUAGGUACCCAGACAAAAGUGAAAGGGCUGAGGUGGAAAGAUAGACUCAGGUGUCGCCGACAAUUUUUUUAAAGAUCAGUCAGUUAAUUCCCAUAGCUUGUUUGAGUGUAGCAGACUGGAAGCUCUGCAUUGAAAUGCUGGUAAGAAUGCAAUAAAAAUAACUUCAGAAUGAACAGUUGAAUGCAAAGGACAGGAAAAAAGGGUUUAGAAUAAAGGGGGUGGGGGACGGGUGCUGCAAAGUUGAUAUAUCAGUUAAGAGCACUUGCUGCUCUUCCAGAGGACUGGAGUUCAGUUCCCAGCACCCACAUGGUAGCUCACUCCAUUUCCAGGGGAUCUGUUGCCCUCUUCUGGUCUCCGUGUGGUCACUGUACUCACAUGCACACAAACACGGGACACAUCAUUUAAAAUAAAAUAGGUAUUUUAAAAAGAAGACGAACAUGAUUGAAAUACACUGCCUGGAGUUUUCAAAGAACUGAUAAUAACAUUGCUAAUAAAAAGAACAAUGAUAACACCAAAACAACACCGGCUUCUUUCUGGUUGGCCUUUGAGUCAUUCGAUGGUCAGGCUGAAUGCUCACUGCUCAGUGUCUUUGUCUCUGGCUGUCUCUGGGCAGAUGAAGGCUGACCCGGAGCCCAUGGGCACGGGGGCUGGUUGCCUUCUCUGGGGAAGUGCAGAAACUGCACAAGAAACUGAGCUCUCUGAGAUGUGGAUUCCAGGGACCCAGGAGGGAUCCUUGAAGGAGACCCUUGAAGUACUAUGCCUGUCAUGAAAACAAAAAAAAAAACUUGAAGGAAGGCCAGACUUUUCCCAGCUUGGGAAAGUAGCAUGGAAGAAGCCCAAGAUGUUAGUUUCUCUUAAGGUCUUUCCAUUUCAUCCUGACUUGUAAUUCCAGUAGAAAAGAAAAAACAAAAACAACAAACAACAAACAAACAAACAUCAACCCAACAGAAAAUAGCAAAGAAAGUAUCUUAGUUAGGGUUUCCACUGCUGUGAAGAAACAUGGUGAUCAAGGCAACUCUUAUAAAGGACAACACUCAACUGGGGCUGGCUUACAGUUUCAGAGGCUCAGGCCGUUAUCAUCAUGGUGGGAAGCAUGGCAGCAUCCAGGCAGGCCUGGCGCAGGAGGAGCUAAUCAAUUUUGGUUGAUUGAGACUUCAGAAUGAAAAACAAACAAACCAACCCUCAGUUUUCCAUUUUCUUUCAAGUUCAGUUAUGAGCAGCAGGUCUGAGUAAUGAACAGAGCCAGGGUCACCUCAGGCUUCACUUAGGGCUUCCUUUUCCUUAAAGAGACAGUGCCGCUGAGUCCUCCGGGAUCCCUGUGCAAGGCAGCUGCAGAAGCUCCUGAUCUGAGGGCUGCUAGAAGACUAGUUCUCCUAAGCAGCUAGGAAUAGGGUCUUGAAGCACACCCCCACAGUAAUACACUUCCUCCAACAAGGCCACACCUCCUACUAGUGCCUCCUACUGGGCCAAGCAUAUUCAAACCACUACAGAAAGAGAUGUUGAAGAAGAUUACACAGACAUUCAUGGUCUUGCUAUGUCACCCAGGCAGUCCUGAAACUUCUGGGCUCAAGGCGU
rnacentral:lncRNA from 1 species